UGGAAGCAUGCUUAUUGUGGAGUGCUGCUGUAUAGCUUUGAUGUGGGUGUAGGCUUGGUGCUUAGUUUUUCUUUGUUUGCUAAAUUGGGCUGUAUAUGGUACACUCAUUGUUUAGCCCAUUAAUCAUAAGUUUGACCACUCCUAUAGUUAAAAUUAUAUGCAUUUUUGCAUAUGAAUAACAAAAUAAUCAUUAACAUAUCAAUUGUAUAGACUUGCCGAGGCAAGUGUUCCAUUACUCUGACUUUUGGACCGUCCUCUCCUUCAGAAAUGGCCUUUUGGUUAAAUUGACAAAGGGAUUAGUUGAUGGUUAGCAUAAUAAUAUGUUUAAGCUUGAAGAUUAGCUGCAGUUAAUGGUAGUAGUUUGUCUCAGAAAAUGGGAGUGGGCUUAAGCAGCUCGAACAUCUCAUUUUGAAGGUCUUUACAGAAUCUCAAGCUAUUAGAAAACCAAUAUAUUGUAACAGAAGAAUCAUUUGUCACUUCAUGUUUUAUUCUUUGCUUAUUUCAUGAGAGAAAAUUAUUAGAGCGUAGUUAUUAGUAACUUUUCAUUGGAUUAAUUAACUUUAUUGAAGGAGAAAGUGAUGAUAUUCGUUCCCAUAUCUUUUAUGGUUGAUGAAGUUGUUAUCAUGUUUAAUGAUCUUUCGGUUUGCUUUUGUACUUGGUUUGCUUAAGAAACACAUUGCUUUCCAUAUUGCAUGAGCAAGAAGGUGCACUUUGUUUAUUCGAUUCCUCUAUUUUUCCAUUUUCAGGUAUGGUCUUCUCUCUCACUCAAUUUCUCUAUUUUUCUAUCUUUGUUUUCCCUAAUUUUUAGAAUUAAUAUUUUUCCUAAUUUUUUGAAGCUAAUGAGACACGCGGUGUCCCAUAUGUGAUUUCUUCGGGCUAUAUUUUGUAUUUAAAGGUUAUGUUCAUCUUAGUUUCCAUGUGCUUGCCAUGUUAUUGGUUCUUUAUGGGCAUCUUGUAUUUUGCAUAUAUUUUCAGUUUGAAUAUAGUAAUUGAGAGCAAUUAGACAGUUUAAGUAGUGGUAAUUUAGAAGUGCCUAUCUUUGUUACUUAUCAGGAGGACUACCAUAGUAGAGGGGGCAUUUUCUGCUAUUUUUUUGUGAAUUGAAUGGGUGACCAAAGAAUUUAUGAUAGCAUGGUUGUGUCUAUUGAGAAAUACAUUUGAAAUAGCAUUCCAAAUGAGGAUAUUGUGUAUCAUUUUCAACAUAAAAAAGUUGUAGAAGCCAUUUGUAAAUCAAAUUUGCAAGAAAUAUUUGAUUUUUCAUUUUCAACUUGUUUUAAUGAUCAAUGAGGAUACAAUUUCAUGUGUGAUUUUAGGUAAGUUUGGGUAAGGCAUAUCAAGUUUCCUAUGGAAAAAUGAGUAGUGGAAUAAGACUGAUUGACCUCAUAAAGGGACUGGCCAUGGCCAAAAAUGAAAUCAACAGAGCCUUGGAUGAAGCAAUUAUUGAAAUAGUGAAGGCCCUUGUGAUCAUAAAGGGUGUCUUGAGCACCAUAAAAACUGUAGUUAUAAAAUGCAGCCUCAGUCCCUGAUAUCCUUAGCACCACUGCUACCCUCCUGCUAAUCCAUCCUCAUGCGCUGCUGUGUUCUGCAUUACCCCCCACCCACAUAAUUUAACAGAAAAGCCAAACACCAAGAAUUUAUGAUCAGAAUUUUAUUCCCAAAAUUAGUAAUGCACGGUUCAAAUUUAACUUUUGUAUGUUGAAGCAAUGAAUCCGAACCAUGCAUUGAAAUUUUUUAGUAAAAAUUCUGUGUAUGUAGGAUUGUAGAGAAUUUAAUGAUGUAGAGAUUCAAAAAAAAAAAAAAAGAUGGUCCAUAAGCCUAAUUUGUUGUGUUGUGGGAGCUUUGCAGUUGUGAGUUGGCCUGGAUUAAAGCCAUGAAGGUUCUGAAUUUCUUUUCAGAAAACCCAUGAUCUCAUGAAUGUGUAGUUCUUAUGGACUCCACAAGGGAUGCCAAUUUUGAUUGUUUCGGUCUUUUGGAGUGAUUCAAGUAGCAGGGGAAUGUCUUUCUGUCUCUUCUUAUUCCAUCAUAUACAAUAGUCUCUUCUUGUAAGCUGUAAGAUAAAUUGAUAGAGAGAGAGAAAAUAAAUUAAGAUAAAUUGAUAGAGAGAGAGAAAAUAAAUUGUGUAUAUAUUGAUUGAUGAAUUACAAGGUUGUUGUGUUAUUGAUAUUACAAGGAUUCCUAUUAUAUAGAAGAGGAUUUGGGUAGUAGGUGAGGAGUAGGUGAGGGUAAGUUGGUGGUAGGUGUAGUAGGUGUGGUAGUAGGUGUAGUGGGUUAGGUUUAGUGGAGUAGGUGAGGUGGUAGUGGUGGUAGGUGAUGGUAAAUUCUAACAUAAGCCAUAAUAAAUUGCUGUUGGAUAUGCAACAAAAUAUGGUUAAGGCAACAUCUAGUUACAGUAAUGUUAUACUUAACACAAACAAAAUCUAAUUAUCUUAUUAUUAAUUGAAUUAUUAGGACUAUGUGGCAUUGGUGACUAUCAAGUCAUUUGGCCAAGGAAGAUUGCAGUCUAAUUUUUAAACUCUGGCAUCUAAUUCCCUUUUUUCUUGAAUUGUUUGGGAUUUCAAACCACUUACAUUGUUUCUCACAUAAAAUCCUUAUUAUUUAUAUGUAUAUAUUCUUUUUUUGGGUGUUGUUGGUAUGUUUGUUCCCUUUCCUCUUAUAAGCACUUCUAGAGACAGGGGGAAACAGAACAAGAGAGACACUAAUGUGCUGGAACUUCCCUUUGGAUGGCAUGUGGCAACAUCAUGAUAGGACAUAGUCAAGAUGGGUUGUCCCUUGGUCAUAUGGACAAUCAGUAUUCAAAAUGGUAAAAGAACUGUGCCAGGGAGUAUAUAGCUUUCAACUGAAGUUCUCAAAUCUGGACCAUCCUUUCUUCCUCUGGCUAAGGUGUCACCUAUUGGAUUAAUUGCAUGGAAGAUGUCAUUUAUGUACCCAUAAGAUCACAGCCAUGAUCACUACUCACAACAUGAAUUAAGUGCUUAUAAUUUAUAGCUAUGUAUGAAUUUAGGUAAUUUAUGAGAUUGGGUAAUUUUAGUUUUCCUCUGCAUUAGUUGAUCAACAGAAAUUCAGUGAUUAACAUCAAGAGAAUGACCAUGUUUACUAUGUAAAAUGUACGGCAAAAAAUUGGACAUGAUGACAUUUUUUUAUCUUUUAUUUUUUGUCAUUGAAGUUUGCUAUUUUUUGAAAAAACAUCAAAGUAUUUUAGUUGUCUUUUUUUUAAAGCAAUGUUAUGUGUUAUUAAUUUUUCAUUAUCUUUUAUAUUACUAUUUAUAUGAAUCAUCAUAUGAUAUAUCUUAUUUAGUGAUGAUUAUUAAAAAAUCAGAGCAUAAACAACUCCAGCUUCCAAAUCCUUAAAUACCUUCUAGAAGCAUAACAACCAAAGUGAACAAUUACUGAAAAAGCUCUAGCUCAACUAAGCCUUAUAGUAAGCCUUAGAGAAGUGAUCAAAUUUAGAAACCAAGUUCAAUGACAUGGUAGCAGAUAUAAUGGAUUAAAAUGACGAACUCACCAAAUUCUUUGGUUUGAUCUUAUCGGGUUUUGGUUUAGCUUUGGUUGGUGAUUGGCAUUUGUAUGAGAAAUUAGCUCCAAAUUCUCUGAUGUUGUUUCUCCCAAAAAACUUGAUGUCUGUUGCUCUUGUUUUUUGCUGCAUGGUGGUGAUGCUCAAGAACAAAAUUGCUUUUAGUGAUCAUUGUUUUUUCUCUCAUCUGUAUUGCUGACUUAAUAAUUUUUUUUUAAAGUAUUUAUUCUAUUUUUCUCUUAUUUGAAAACUUGAUCCAGAUUUGAUUUGAUCCAGUCUCUGUUCAGUCUAGAAGGGAUGUAUUUACCUGGUUAUUUUUCUUAGAGUUGAUUUGACCUUAAUCAUCCUUCUGUUUUUACUUCUAUAGCUUUAAUAUUGCACAACUUUCUCACAAGGGAAAAACAUGAUUCAGCUGAAAGUUGUACUUGUAAAAAACAAAAAUGAAUGUUGAAAAUAUUAUGAAAUGUAUGAUAGAUUUGAUUCUAAAAGAGAAGCUUUGUUUCCUCUGUUUUUUGGUCAGAUCCAAUAGAGAAGAUAAAUCUCUAUGAAAAUAAUUAGAUCAUCUGCCACCUUGAUGGAAAGUUCUUAAUGUUUUUACCUUCCAAGAGCACAUCUGAAGAAAACAUGAUGAUGAAGAUGAAAAGUUCAUGUAAAUAUUGUACAAAAUAUAAUGUAUUUGGACCCUUGUAAUAUAUAGGAAUAGCCCCCCAUGUGCUUGUAUAUGUGGUGUUUUAACAGGUUGGAGGCUUCUCCUUUAUUUGCCAAUUUCUAUGCUGCUCCUAUUGUGCUGUCUGCUACUUUUGUGCUGGCUUUGCUUAGGUUUUCUGUGUGCCAUCUUACUAACCAAUCAAUAUUAUCUACUUAUAUUUACUUUUUGUGUUAGGAUGAUUACAAUUUUUAUUGUAUCUUUAUUCAUUAUUCUAUUUAUUUCAAAAUGGCGGGACAAUAUGAUAAAGUUCCAGGAUGCACAUUGCUCCGAACCUGGUGUGGUUCCAAUUACUCCAGAGGAGCUAUCUGUGAAGGUGCUCAAGUGAAGGUCGGGAUAUGUUAAAGGACUUGGUUUGAGGCCUUCGUCCUUGGUCAGGACUACCACUGCUUCUACUGACUGUGACUAUGUAAGGCGUCUGGAGAUGGAAAUACAAGAGCAAAAGGAGGAAAUUCAGUCACAAAAAGAGGAAAUUAUAGCAUAGAAACAUGAAUUCAAGCACAAAGUUAUGUGAUAGCAAAGAUGAAUGAGUUGAGAGAGGAGCAUUUGGAGAUAACGUCAAGUAUCAUGGAGUUUCUUAAGAAACAAGGUUUCAACGGACAAUUUAGGGGAGGGGGCAUCCCAUGAACUCGUAGAUCGCCUUUUUGGUGAUCGAGUACCGGAUCAAAGAUAGUGGCGACGACCCGAACCCUUGUUUUGUCAAUCCAGCUAUUGUGCCUCAUCACAAGGUUCCGAACCAACAUGUGUCACGGCUUUUUGGGUGGCUCAAAUUCACCCUUUUAAUAUUGCUAAGUUGAAAGAAUGUUUUUGACUUUUGUUAAUACUGUUUUUGAUAAGGGGAUUUAAUUCCCUAACUUGUAUUUUGUCUUGUAUAUAUAUAUUUUAUGGACAUAAGUAUUUGUGGACAAAACUAUGUAUAUGAAAGUUUAUUUCCAUUCAGGUCCUCA